CAAUUCAGAUUAUCCAUCGUAAACUUUCCUUAUGUAUGUAGUAAUAUUCCACUUGAUAUGGAGUUUGACGAUGGAGAAACUGAAAUCAUCUCGUUUGUCAUACAGUUUAGUUGUUAACGAGUUAGUCCGGAUGGGGAAACUGACAUUUUCCUGCUCAGAGCACCAACGUCCUUGAGAAGGCGAGUAUAAAAGAGAAAAACAGUCAUACUUAUCAACAAACCAGAGACAACACGUUUUCCCGGAGAAAUGAAUCAGCUCUCUAUGUAUGGAGCCUGGAUGGGCUUCUGGACUUUUGCUUGCCUUCUUUCUCUCUCAAAGACACAGGAUUUUAUUCUUCCAAAUACUGAUCAUUACCUUAUAAAUGUUCUUCAAGACGGACAUGGAACUUUUGAUUGUACCAAUCAAAAUUAUUUGCGUUUCUUGAGGGAAAAUCCACCGACUUGCCUGUUUUGCUACAAAAAGUCUGGAAAUUUUUAUGGUGAUAUUCGCAAUGGGACUUGUAUGAAUUUCGGACCAGGAUGCAGUAGGAAAUGCUGUGAGGGGAUUUCCCGCUCUUUAUACAUCAAGGCUAUAUCGAAAACAUUGCCUAUUAUAACAUCUUGUGCUUGUGACUCUUGUACAGGAAACUUUGAAGGGACAGACGUGUUAUUCUCUCUGGAAAGUGCAGGAACAGAUUGAAACUACCAAAGAUUGGACUACCUUUAAUAACUUUUCAGAGAAUGUCGUUGGUUACGGGUUGAAAAAAAGUCUUAAUGAUAAAGACAGUGAUGGAAGCUUUUCCAAGAAUUUAUUUUUAUCUUUUUAAAACAUGAUGUGAAUAAGUAUUUUUUAAUAAAACCACAAAAUAUCAA